AUCUAUGCAAGUAAGGAGGGGAUGGACCUGUGCCUCCGUCCAGUUUGGAAUGACGGGGCAUACAUCACAAGAGGAGCGAAGUAUGCCAUAAUAGAAGUCCGUUUUAAAACGGAAGAAAAGGCGAAACAAGCGUCAACGAUACCAUUAAAAUCGGUGGAGGUGGUACUCCUAUCUAUUUAUCUUGGAAGUCGGUCUUCCAAGAUUAAGGUAGGAGACAUCCCAUCCGAAGUAGAUCCCGCUUGGCUUGUGGUAGCUAUAAUAAACGGCUUGGAGGAUAAGAUCACAAUUCCCCAAGCCUCAGCCCUGGGACUGGAGAAUUGGCAGGGGCAAAGCCUGAAAAUGAUUAUACAGGCUGUCCCGACUGAUUUAGAAAAUAUUAUAGAAACUAUACAGGUGGAGGAGUCUAAGCUGCUAGGGUAGAGGGGAGGAAGCCUCGUUGCUACAAAUGUGGCCAAAAAACCCCAUUAGGGCCGAAUGCCAACCUCCCCCCGAAAAAGCAGUGAUUCCCCACCUGUUGAAAAA